GGUGGGCCCGAUCUCACGGCUACAUACACCUGCGAACGAAAUUACUCCUUACGAAAUACACCUUUAAAGGAUACAGUCGCUUAAAUCGCCAUUGAGAACAGUUCUCCGGAAUAUUUUCGAGUGCACAGACAUGAAUAUGAAAAAUAUCCAGCUUUUUACUUCAACCUUCGCAGGUUUUUGUGAAUGACAUGGUCUGUGAGGAGAGCUGGGAAAUCGCAUAAUCGGAUCCCACCGACCCGGAUUUCGCUCCUCUUAUAGUUUCAAUGCUCCACAUAUUCGGAACUCUCAAGUGGGCACGUUUGAUAAAUGUUUAUCAAUUUA